UACGGAGGGUGCAAGCGUUAUCCGGAUUCACUGGGUUUAAAGGGAGCGUAGGUGGGUUGGUAAGUCAGUGGUGAAAUCCCCGAGCUUAACUUGGGAACUGCCAUUGAUACUAUCAGUCUUGGAUACUGUGGAGGUUAGCGGAAUAUGUCAUGUAGCGGUGAAAUGCUUAGAUAUGACAUAGAACACCAAUUGCGAAGGCAGCUGGCUACACAAUUAUUGACACUGAGGCUCGAAAGCGUGGGGAUCAAACAGG
rnacentral:rRNA from 1 species